AUCCACUCCUCUCCUGAGGUGCUGACGACUCUGUGCUGUGUGUGCACCGCUCCUGAACCCGCCCAUCACCAAGAUGUCCUGCCAGCAGAACCAACAGCAGUGCCAGCCCCCUCCCAAGUGUGCCCCCAAGUGCCCCACCCCUAAAUGCCCCCCAAAGUGCCCCCCAGUCUCCUCCUGCUGUGGCCCCAGCUCCGGGGGCUGCUGCAGCUCUGGGUGUGGGGGCUGCUGCCUGAGCCACCACAGGCGCCGCAGGUCCCACCACCGCAGACCCCAGAGGUCUGACUGCUGCCCCCAGCCCUCGGGGGGCUCCGGGUGCUGCGGAGGGGGGAGCGGCCAGUCCUCUGGAGGCGGCUGCUGCUGAAGUGGACCCUGAGCCAAGAAGAGCUGAAUUAGAGGCAUGAAAAAGACAAGGCCAUCUUCCUUUGGCCUGACUGUCUGCUGAGAUGUAUCAGUGAAGAUUUCAAAUUUUGUCCUAGAAGUUCCUUCUGACCUGGAAUCCAGAAAUCUCUGUUCUUUCCUAAAAACUCACCUGCUGAUCCCUGAUCUCAUCUCUUCAAGCUGCCUUGGGAACCCCAGAGAAUCAUUCUUAUGCCACUGGCCGUUUCCUACCUGAAAUGAAACAAUAAAACAAAUCAUCCAUUCA